rnacentral:rRNA from 1 species
GACGAACGCUGGCGGCGUGCUUAACACAUGCCAGUCGAACGGAAAGGCCUGCUUUCCCUUGUGGAUUGCGGGUACUCGAGUGGCGAACGGAUGAGUAACACGUGAGUGAUCUGCCCCCAACUUGGGUAUAAGCCUGGGAAACUGGGUCUAAUUCCCGAUAGGACUGCAGGGUGGUGCCUGUGGUGGAAAACGAUUUUCUAGUGGUUGGGGAUGAGCUCGCGGCCUAUCAGCUUGUUGGUGGGGUAAUGGCCUACCAAGGCGGCGACGGGUAGCCGGCCUGGGAGGGUGGACGGCCACAUUGAGACUGAGAUACGGCCCAGACUCCUACGGGAGGCAGCAGUGGGGAAUAUUGCACAAUGGGCGGAAGCCUGAUGCAGCGACGCCGCGUGGGGGAUGACGGCCUUCGGGUUGUAAACUCCUUUCGACCGCGAGGAAGCCACCUGGUUGGAAGGGUGGUGACGGUAGUGGUAGAAGAAGCACCGGCUAACUACGUG